rnacentral:lncRNA from 1 species
CAACAUCAAAUGGAAACAAAUGGAAUCAUCAUCGAAUGGAAUCGAAUGGAAUCAUCAUCAAAUGGAAUCGAAUGGAAUCAUCCAAUAUAAUAGAAUUGAAUCACCAUCGAACGGAAUCGAAUAGAAUCAUCGAAUGAACUCAAAUGGAAUCAUCAUCGAAUGGAAUCAAAUUGUCAAUGAACGGAAUUGAAUGGAAUCAUAGAAUGGAAUCCAAUGUAAUCAUCAUUGAAUUGAACCCAAUGGAAUCAUUAAAUGGACUCGAAUGGAAUCAUCGAAUGGACUCGAAUGGAAUCAUCAUCGAAUGGAAUAGAAUGGAAUCAUUGAAUGGAAUCGAAUGGAAUCAUCAU